GACGAACGCUGGCGGCGUGCUUAACACAUGCAAGUCGAACGGAAAGGCCCUGCUUUUGUGGGGUGCUCGAGUGGCGAACGGGUGUGUAACACGUGAGUAACCUGCCCUUGACUUUGGGAUAACUUCAGGAAACUGGGGCUCAUACCGGAUAUGAGCUCCUGCUGCAUGGUGGGGGUUGGAAAGUUUCGGCGGUUGGGGAUGGACUCGCGGCUUAUCAGCGUGUUGGUGGGGUAGUGGCUUACCAAGGCUUUGACGGGUAGCCGGCCUGAGAGGGUGACCGGCCACAUUGGGACUGAGAUACGGCCCAGACUCCUACGGGAGGCAGCAGUGGGGAAUAUUGCACAAUGGGCGGAAGCCUGGAGCAGCAACGCCGCGUGCGGGAUGACGGCCGUCGGGUUGUAAACCGCUUUCGCCUGUGACGAAGCGUGAGUGACGGUAAUGGGUAAAGAAGCACCGGCUAACUACGUG
rnacentral:rRNA from 1 species